UGGGGAAUAUUGCACAAUGGGCGCAAGCCUGAUGCAGCCAUGCCGCGUGUAUGAAGAAGGCCUUCGGGUUGUAAAGUACUUUCAGCGGGGAGGAAGGGAGUAAAGUUAAUACCUUUGCUCAUUGACGUUACCCGCAGAAGAAGCACCGGCUAACUCCGUGCCAGCAGCCGCGGUAAUACGGAGGGUGCAAGCGUUAAUCGGAAUUACUGGGCGUAAAGCGGACGCAGGCGGUUUGUUAAGUCAGAUGUGAAAUCCCCGGGCUCAACCUGGGAACUGCAACUGAUACUGGCAAGCUUGAGUCUCGUAGAGGGGGGUAGAAUUCCAGGUGUAGCGGUGAAAUGCGUAGAGAUCUGGAGGAAUACCGGUGGCGAAGGCGGCCCCCUGGACCAAGACUGACGCUCAGGUGCGAAAGCGUGGGGAGCAAACAGG
rnacentral:rRNA from 1 species